CAUAAUCUAAUCAUCUCCUAAGUUUUCAGCAUUUGAAUUAGCCGAUUGUUGAGCUUGAGUACUUGGAUUGGAUAGCAUACCAUUGCGACGCAACUCAUCCAUCAAACUUGCAAUUUGAGCUUGCAUUUGGGUCUGUACUUGAGCCUGCAUUUGAGCCUGCUUUUGAUUUC